GGCUCUUUGAUUAAAUAUAAUAAAGAGUCGGACCUGCCCAGUGAAAUAUUUUAACGGCCGCGGUACUCUGACCGUGCAAAGGUAGCAUAAUCAUUUGCCCUAUAAUUGGGGGCUGGUAUGAAUGGUUUGACAAGAGCAAUUCUGUCUCUAUAUAAUUUUAUAAAAUUUAAUUUUCAGCUGAAGAAGCCUGAAUUUAAUUAAAAGACAAGAAGACCCUAUCGAGCUUUAAAACAGUUAAAAGAUAUUAAGUGUAUUUAUAUAACUACAACUUUUAAAAAUUUUGGUUGGGGCGACCUAGGAACAAAUAAAGCUUCUUUUUGUAAAAAAAUACACAUAUUUUGAUCCAAAAAUUUUGAUUGAAGAAAUUAGUUACCGUAGGGAUAACAGCAUAAUCUUUUUUGAGAGCUCUUAUCGAAAAAAAGGCUUGUGACCUCGAUGUUGGACCAAAAUAUCCCAAAGAUGCAACCGUCUUUAAGGGUUGGUCUGUUCGACCAUUAAAAUUUUACGUGAUCUGAGUUCAGACCG
rnacentral:rRNA from 1 species